UUCCGGUUGAUCCCGCCGGACCCCACUGCUAUUGGGAUAGGACUAAGACAUGCUAGUCGUGUGCCUCAGUCAAAACGAGGCACGGCGCACAGCUCAGUAACACGUGGCUAACCUGCCCUUAGGACGAGAAUAACCCCGGGAAACUGGGGCUAAUGCUCGAUAGGUGAAGAACUCUGGAAUGAGUCUUCACUUAAAAGAGUCUGCGUUAUGCUCGUAGAUUUCGCUUAAGGAUGGGGCCGCGACCGAUCAGGUUGUUGGUGAGGUAAUGGCUCACCAAGCCUUUUACCGGUGCGGGCCGUGAGAGCGGGAGCCCGGAGAUGGGCACUGAGACAAGGGCCCAGGCCCUACGGGGCGCAGCAGUCGCGAAAACUUUGCAAUACACGAAAGUGUGACAGGGCUAUCCCGAGUGCCAUCCGCUGAGGAAGGCUUUUACCCAGUCUAGAAAGCUGGGGGAAUAAGGAGAGGGCAAGUCUGGUGUCAGCCGCCGCGGUAAUACCAGCUCUCCGAGUGGUGUGGAUGUUUAUUGGGCCUAAAGCAUCCGUAGCUGGCUAAGUUAGUCCCCUGUUAAAUCCAACGAAUUAAUCGUUGGAUCGCGGGGGAUACUGCUUGGCUAGGGGACGAGAGAGGCAGACGGUAUUUCCGGGGCAGGGGUGAAAUCCUAUAAUCCCGGGAAGACCACCAGUGGCGAAGGCUGUCUGCUAGAACGCGCCCGACGGUGAGGGAUGAAAGCUGGGGGAGCGAACCGGAUUAGAUACCCGGGUAGUCCCAGCUGUAAACGAUGCAGGCUAGGUGUUUGGACGGCCACGUGCCGUUCUAGUGCCGCAGGGAAGCUGUUAAGCCUGCCGCCUGGGGAGUACGAUCGCAAGAUUGAAACUUAAAGGAAUUGGCGGGGGAGCACCACAAGGGGUGAAGCUUGCGGUUUAAUUGGAGUCAACGCCGGG
rnacentral:rRNA from 1 species